CAAACAAUGCACACCCAAACUUAUGGAAGGCGUUCCAAUGGUUUCUUUUCAAGUUUAUAAUGUGCAACGAAAACAAGUGUAAAUAAAACUGGAAAAAUGAAAAAAAUCGUAAGCGACAUAAAAUAUAUAUUUUUAAAAUGUUAACUAACGACAUAUAUGUUAGCAAAACGAACUAUAAUUAUCGAAAAAUGUCCUUUUCGUCUCCGUCGAUUAAUUUAAUACAUGAGCUUUUGGCGUUGAUUUAAAGGAGGGGGGAAAAAAAGUAUAAUUACAAUGAUACAGAACGGAUAUGGAAGGGAAAGUCGAACAGUUCUGUGGGAUUUAUUCAUUUUGUCACCUAGAAAGACAUAAUUGUGCAGCACCAACGUAUCAACUGCUCGCCAGACCAAGCACAAGUUUUGCCGUGAGCUAAUUUUUACGUCUAUCUCUGUUUUUUUUUUUUUUUUUUUUUUUUCUUGCUAUGAUUAAUUAAUGGAAAAUGCUAAGAUGGCUACCAACUAGCCAACGCCUUCACGGAACCAACAUGUCGGUUCGUCGUUUUGUGGGGGAAACUCAGAGAGACGGACAGGUGCCAAAAGUCAAAAUGCCGCCGUUUACCGCCACGAAAUGCAAAUGUGAACGUACUCAAAGUGUUUCUCAGCAAGCGAAUGAACCACUUCGACAAAAUGAAGAAGUCUUAAGCAAUCGCUGGAAAACCUGAAAAGCUUUGUCACUAACAUCAUGGGUUGAACAAGAAAACCGACUGAAUGCACUUUCACUGGAAAUGCACGAGACGCACAAUCUUCACCGACUCCUCCUCCAGCUCAUCAUCGUAGUCGUCGGGCAGCGGCGGCAGAACCGGAUCGAAACUCUUCUGGGCCACCGUGUCGUGGACGGAAAGGAGAGCCUGGCCGGACACGGGCAGCACAGCGACUUCAGGCCUCAAACACCCCCAUCCAGAUGAGGACUCAAGACAGCGUGGAGGUGAAGGCUGCUGGGAAAUGUCUGCUAAUUGGAUACACUUGAGCGACCACUGCAGAGCUGCUUCAGUUCUCGCUUUCUUCAAAAAGACCUGUUUGGGAGAAUCUACAAGUUAACUGGAAACUGGUCUUCAUUCCAUCCGGGUUGAGAUCGUACGAACCCGACUGAAACGACAGUGAGCGAGUGAGUCGGCGUAUUUCAACGUCUCACGCGCACAUACACAGCAGAAGAAGAAGAACAACGCUACGCGACUAAGCAAGCUCACGAGCCACCACCACCAGCCCUUGAGAUCCCGUCACCAAGACCAUCAAGAGGGAUGAAACCUUACCUUUUUCCAUCCUUUCUGCUUCGGAAGAAAGCCCUAAAGCGACACAUCGGGAGUCAGGCAAAGCGAGGGAGAGUGAGCGGGAAACUAGCGACUAGCUCCGAGCAGUACGUGCUACUACGAGUGCGACCAAAUAACGUUUGUCGUAAAGCUCACCACGCCGUUGCCGUGAUACGGUUUGUCCUCCAUCUCCAUGGCGGACGCCGCGUCGCAGGCGGCUGUGGCGUUGGCGCGUGGAAUUGGCGUGAUGCUGACCGGCCAGGCCUUGCUCAGCUCACCCGCCGGGUACGGGCUGGCGUCGAUGUGCUCUGCCUGCUCGUCAGAGCAUCUCCGCCUGUUUGACCGUCGAAAUGAGACGCUCAGCCGGCUUGAGAGGAGGCUGCCGUUGGAAAAACGGAAAAUGGAAAACAGUAAGGUGCGACUUCCACGUUUUGGAUUUUAGAACAAUGCAGCCGUUAUCAUCGUCACCGUGCCACCGCAGUCGAUGAGCAAUCGGGAAUUUAUCGAAUCGAAGUGAUGUUGGAGGAAGUCAUAAAGCUCAGGAUGAAAUACCAGUGAUAUGAAGUUGGGUUGUACGAGCUGAACGCACGGAGGUAGCAACGAUGGGAGGCAGGGUGCGGCUUUGGAGGCCAGCGGGAACGCCGCCGCGGCGCCGUUCUUGGCGGGUGGCGCCUCCUUGUGGCUUCUGAGGUCCGCCGGGCUGAUCUGGUAGGAUGCCGACGACGGAGGCGGCGAC